rnacentral:lncRNA from 1 species
UUUAUAUGUUUGCAUUAUUCUUAGAGAUUAACAAAUUAUAGGGUUUAAGUAACCCAAUAACAUUAAGUAUAUGUGGUCAUGUAGAUAUAUAUAGACAAUGAUAGAACUACUUGCGGAGGAGAUGAGGUCAGCUGACCCCGUAUUUUUUAUUUGUUGUUGUUUAUAGUGAAAGCUUGUUAGGGUAAAAUGAAAAAUUGGUUAAUUCAUGUAUAUUGACUUUUUAUUUAAAGUUAAUAUCUAUAUUGUUAACUUAUACCUCUUUUAAUAUUACUAUAUAGCUGUAUAUAUUAGCACUGACCCCCAUGAAAAUAAUCCUUACUUCUGCCACUGAAUAUAGAGUUAUGUUUUAGAUUUCACUCGAAUAUUUGAAGAAAAAAUUUAUCCUCAUUGUUAGACUUGAAACUUCGAUUUUUUUAGAAAUAAAUAUAUAUUUUGUAUAAAUCUUUGCGUUGUGCAAACGGAAGUUACGUGAAUUAUUUAUACACCAUGAACAAAAAAGGUUUUGUUAUGUCCGAAAAACCUCAGUGCAUGAUUAACCCUGGUUUUUUAGCCGAAGUUCUUAAUUCAUGAUUUGAUAUUUUUUUUAUUUUUUUUUACACUUUUUGGUUUAGAGACGGCUUUUAUAUCUCCUAUUUAAGAAAAUGUUCUUAAUUUUUCUUAGUUAAAAUCUAAGAAAAGUUAAGAACCGUCUCUUAGCCGAAAUUAAGAAUCCCAGUUAAGAGACUGAGUUAAUGAUGGUCUUAAGAGGUCCUUUGGCAAAAAAAUGAGAACCUAAGAGGUCAUAAAGAUUCUUUGCUUGCUUGUUAUAUACUCUCUCUGUUUCUGAAUAAGUGUCACUUUAACAUUUUUUUUGUUACAUAAAAAAUAUCAUUCUGUAAUUCUAAUGUAAUUUAUAAUUAAUUUUAACUAAAUAUUAAUUAAAAUGCAAUAAAAAAAAGAAAAGUUUUUUGCAUUAAUUAACUUGAUCUUAUAAAUAAAUUUGUUUUUC